rnacentral:tRNA from 1 species
GGAGAGCCAGUGUGGUGUAGUGGUUAAAGCGGUGGACUCGUAAUCUGGUGAACUGGGUUCGAUUCCCUGCUCCUCCA